GCAGAAAAUCAGACACAGUAACUAGCAGCCAAGCCAGCUGCUAACUCAAGUGAAAAUGCAAGCCAGCUAGCAAGAGCUGAACAUUGCAGCAAGAGAGCAUUAUUUUACUCCUCUUGAAACAUUUUUGGAGGUGUAAAUCAGUGAAUUCUAUUCUACCCCACUUUAAAGCUGAAAAAAGGAACUACAGAGGAAUCCUCAGU
rnacentral:lncRNA from 1 species